rfam:Asian citrus Psyllid, Diaphorina citri - Florida Strain, whole genome shotgun sequence.
AGCUUAGUUGGUAGUGCGUCUGCCUUGUAAGCGCUAGGCCGCGGGUUCGAUUCCCGC